ACUGCCAGAUUAAAGGACUUUCGCUUCGACCAUGAUUGGGAACGGCGAGGGAAAGAUUUCACGUUUUCGUGUUUUGUUGGCCAGGUUCGCCUGCAUAUUGAAAAUUAUGUCUCUGAAGUAGAGAAUAAUAAUUUUAUUUAUCUCAACAAUAAUGCUUCCUUAUUUUGUUCAUUUUGAAAUAGAUAUUUUUAUCUGAUUUCGGGGAUGGUGGGAACGAGAGAUUACAUUUAUGCAAUCUACUCUGG
rnacentral:misc_RNA from 1 species